AGCGUAGGCGGACAUUUAAGUCAGGGGUGAAAUCCCGGGGCUCAACCUCGGAAUUGCCUUUGAUACUGGGUGUCUUGAGUAUGAGAGAGGUGUGUGGAAUUCCGAGUGUAGAGGUGAAAUUCGUAGAUAUUCGGAGGAACACCAGUGGCGAAGGCGGCUUACUGGUCCAUUACUGACGCUGAGGUGCGAAAGCGUGGGGAGCAAACA
rnacentral:rRNA from 1 species